UGAGAAUAGAUGUGUAUGGGUAUGUGUGAGCAUGGAUGUUUAUGUUUGUGUAAGUAUGCAUGUGAAUAUGUUGGUGUGUAAGCAUGGUUAUGUAUGUGUAAGGGUGUGUGAGCAUGUAUGUGUAAGUGUGUGUGAGCGUGUAUAAAGAGGAUGGGAGACCUAUACAAAGACAGGAAAAAAAUGAGGUAAAGAAAAAGAGGAGCAGCAAUAAAGAAAAAGAGAGAGGAUACGAGAUAAGGAGAAAGGUGGUUAAAUAAAGAGAACAAAGAGAAAUAAAAAGAAAGGAACAGUUAGGGGAGAGAUAGAAAGAAAAGAUAAAGAGCAAGAGGAGGGGAGAUAAUAGGAAAUUGUUCAGAGAGAAGGGGGAGAUAUUAAGAGAAAGAAUAGAUAUUAAUAAAAGGGGAGAGAUAAAUAGAAAA